rnacentral:rRNA from 1 species
UGAGGAAUAUUGGUCAAUGGACGAGAGUCUGAACCAGCCAAGUAGCGUGAAGGAUGACUGCCCUAUGGGUUGUAAACUUCUUUUAUACGGGAAUAAAGUGAGGCACGUGUGCCUUUUUGUAUGUACCGUAUGAAUAAGGAUCGGCUAACUCCGUGCCAGCAGCCGCGGUAAUACGGAGGAUCCGAGCGUUAUCCGGAUUUAUUGGGUUUAAAGGGAGCGUAGGCGGACGCUUAAGUCAGUUGUGAAAGUUUGCGGCUCAACCGUAAAAUUGCAGUUGAUACUGGGUGUCUUGAGUACAGUAAAGGCAGGCGGAAUUCGUGGUGUAGCGGUGAAAUGCUUAGAUAUCACGAAGAACUCCGAUUGCGAAGGCAGCUUACCGGAGCGCAACUGACGCUGAGGCUCGAAAGCGCGGGUAUCGAACAGGAUUAGAUACCCUGGUAGUCCGCGCGGUAAACGAUGGAUGCCCGCCGUUGGGAUUUGGAUUUCAGCGGCCAAGCGAAAGCGUUAAGCAUCCCACCUGGGGAGUACGCCGGCAACGGUGAAACUCAAAGGAAUUGACGGGGGCCCGCACAAGCGGAGGAACAUGUGGUUUAAUUCGAUGAUACGCGAGGAACCUUACCCGGGCUUGAAUUGCAGGAGAACGAUCCAGAGAUGGUGAGGCCCUUCGGGGCUCCUGUGAAGGUGCUGCAUGGUUGUCGUCAGCUCGUGCCGUGAGGUGUCGGCUCAAGUGCCAUAACGAGCGCAACCCCUGUCCAUAGUUGCCAUCAGGUCGUGCUGGGCACUCUGUGGAGACUGCCGCCGUAAGGUGUGAGGAAGGUGGGGAUGAUGUCAAAUCAGCACGGCCCUUACGUCCGGGGCUACACACGUGUUACAAUGGGGGGUACAGAAGGCAGCUACACGGUGACGUGAUGCUAAUCCCUAAAGCCUCUCUCAGUUCGGAUUGGAGUCUGCAACCCGACUCCAUGAAGCUGGAUUCGCUAGUAAUCGCGCAUCAGCCACGGCGCGGUGAAUACGUUCCC